GACGAACGCUGGCGGCGUGCUUAACACAUGCAAGUCGAACGGAAAGGCCCUGCUUUUGUGGGGUGCUCGAGUGGCGAACGGGUGAGUAACACGUGAGUAACCUGCCCUUGACUUUGGGAUAACUUCAGGAAAAUGGGGCUAAUACCGGAUAGGAGCUCCUGCUGCAUGGUGGGGGUUGGAAAGUUUCGGCGGUUGGGGAUGGACUCGCGGCUUAUCAGCUUGUUGGUGGGGUAGUGGUUUACCAAGGGUUUGACGGGUAGCCGGCCUGAGAGGGUGACCGGCCACAUUGGGACUGAGAUACGGCCCAGACUGCUACGGGAGGCAGCAGUGGGGAAUAUUACACAAUGGGCGGAAGCCUGAUGCAGCGACGCCGCGUGCGGGAUGACGGCCUUCGGGUUGUAAACCGCUUUCGCCUGUGACGAAGCGUGAGUGACGGUAAUGAGUAAAGAAGCACCGGCUAACUACGUG
rnacentral:rRNA from 1 species